GGCAGAACACUAUUCACUUUUUGAUGGAUUGUAUUUUCACUACCUCUGUGACUCAUAUUUGCUCUCAGUGAAUGGCAGAGCCAGCACAAGGUGGAAGGAAGAUAUGCAGCCAGCAGGAGGGAAGGGAGGAAGGAGAAGACUUGGAUCUUCUCCUUUCAGCACUGGUGAACUCCAUAUGUGUGAAGGAAUCAUAUGCUGACAUUUUAUUUAAGAGGUGAGAACAGGAAGAAUUAUUUUUUUGAAAGAAAGCAAAAUUAUGACAGGCUUUGCUUCCAUGAAUACUGAGAACAUCAUUAACUGUUUGUUUGAGAGGUGGAAUUGAGUGUGCGAGGAGGAGUCAUCCACGCUGGCUUUGCAAAACUGAACAUCUGACAAACAGGCACCUGCUGUAGUGAGGACAAGGUUUUAGCUCUAGGAAUUUCAUAAAUAUUUAUUUUCUAGGAAUAUAUGGUUGCAUCUUGCCAGAAUAUUAAUAUUUGUAUUUUUUUCUACUUUCACAGUUGUUUUAGAGUCAGAAGACCCAGGCAUCGCAAGCUUGUCUGCUAAAACUCAGAGCUAAAUUUAAACCGCACAGUUUUGUUUAAUAUCACUAAGACAGAAUAUUUUAGCUGUUCUGGC
rnacentral:lncRNA from 1 species